ensembl:lncRNA CBLL1-AS1 CBLL1 antisense RNA 1
AAUUUUGGCCUGCAAAGACUUCCUUCUCUCGCCUCUACUAUCCAACUCCUGUGAGGGACUCAGGCAUAGUUCGGGCGGAGGCAGAAAGAGCGAGCGCGCGAAGAACUUCGGUAUUGAGGGAGAGCGCUUGUGACGCUACGAACCUCUCGAACACCUGACGACUGGGCGCCAGGGCCGGAUGGAGGGUGGAGAGCCAGUGCGGCGCAGCUGCCUCCUCUUAACGGGGACACCUUGCAGGAAUGUGCGGAGUGGAGCUAACGGGAGCGGAUAGAAACCGAGGGAGGGGAAGAGAGCGCGAAGGCUUGGCCGGAAGGAGAGGUUAAAAAGGAAAGGCCUAAAAUGAGGAAGAGAGUUACCACAACAAGCAGUACCUAGUUCCAGUUCUUGGUCCCAGGAGUUUGUGGUUGUUGCUGCUUUCAUCUUCCUCAGCCAACACAAAAGGAAAGUGCCAAGGGGCGAUUCCUAGGACCUUCAGUGCAGUCUCCACCUUGCGGACUUGGCUCAUUUGUGUCCACUCCUUUCUCCAGCCUUUUACACUUGAUGCUCUUGGAUG